rnacentral:rRNA from 1 species
UACAGAGGUCCCGAGCGUUGUUCGGAUUCACUGGGCGUAAAGGGUGCGUAGGUGGCUUGAAAAGUUUGAUGUGAAAGCUCAGGGCUUAACCCUGAAAUGGCAUUGAAUACUGUCGAGCUGGAGGUUUGGAGGGGGGACUGGAAUUCUUGGUGUAGCAGUGAAAUGCGUAGAUAUCAAGAGGAACACCAGUGGCGAAGGCGAGUCCCUGGACAACAACUGACACUGAGGCACGAAAGCUAGGGGAGCAAACAGG